rnacentral:rRNA from 1 species
UACGAGAGGCCCAAACGUUUAUUCGGAAUUACUGGGCUUAAAGAGUUCGUAGGCGGCGCAGAAAGUAGGGUGUGAAAGCCCUCGGCUUAACCGAGGAAUUGCGCCCUAAACUACUGUGCUUGAGGAACCUAGAGGUGAGCAGAACAGAUGGUGGAGCGGUGAAAUGCGUAGAUAUCUGGAGGAACACCGGUGGCGAAGGCGGCAUCCUGGACCGACACUGACGCUGAGGAGCGAAAGCCAGGGGAGCAAACGGGG